AGCGAGUGACAUCCAUCCUUCCGUCCUGUUUUCCUUGCUCCCCAGACCUCGUCGCAAUGGGUUAAAUGUAGGCAUCUCUGUUUAGCCUGCACCCCUUCACCCAGCAAGCCGGGAGGGGGGGGGGGGGGGCACCUUCUGCUUUUCCUCCCGCCCCCCCCCUUUCUUCACUGACCCCUCCUUUUCGUCCUCCCAAGGCGGAGUCAGUUUCCCCAGCGGUGUUUUAAGUCAGCCAGUGUUUGUAAGGCAACUCGAUCCCUUCAUCAGAGAAAGGCUGGAUGCCGGUUAGUUGACACCGGGGCCAGGAGUCCUCCAGGAGCUACGUGGUCCUUAUGGAGUAUUUAACUGAGACAGAGACAGGAGAAUGCUCCCCCAGUUCCAGCACUAUGGAUGCCCGGCCGCUCUUCCAA